UACGUAGGGGGCUAGCGUUGUCCGGAUUUAUUGGGCGUAAAGAGCGUGUAGGCGGCCAGGUAGGUCUGCUGUGAAAACUCGAGGCUUAACCUCGAGAUGUCGGCGGAAACCAUCUGGCUAGAGUCCGGAAGAGGAGAGUGGAAUUCCUGGUGUAGCGGUGAAAUGCGUAGAUAUCUGGAGGAAUACCGGUGGCGAAGGCGGCAUCCUGGACCGGCAUUGACGCUGAUGAGCGAAAGCUAGGGGAGCAAACGGG
rnacentral:rRNA from 1 species